AUUGAACGCUGGCGGCAGGCCUAACACAUGCAAGUCGAGCGGAUGAAGGGAGCUUGCUCCUGGAUUCAGCGGCGGACGGGUGAGUAAUGCCUAGGAAUCUGCCUGGUAGUGGGGGAUAACGUCCGGAAACGGGCGCUAAUACCGCAUACGUCCUGAGGGAGAAAGUGGGGAAUCUUCGGACCUCACGCUAUCAGAUGAGCCUAGGUCGGAUUAGCUAGUUGGUGGGGUAAAGGCCUACCAAGGCGACGAUCCGUAACUGGUCUGAGAGGAUGAUCAGUCACACUGGAACUGAGACACGGUCCAGACUCCUACGGGAGGCAGCAGUGGGGAAUAUUGGACAAUGGGCGAAAGCCUGAUCCAGCCAUGCCGCGUGUGUGAAGAAGGUCUUCGGAUUGUAAAGCACUUUAAGUUGGGAGGAAGGGCAGUAAGUUAAUACCUUGCUGUUUUGACGUUACCAACAGAAUAAGCACCGGCUAACCUCGUG
rnacentral:rRNA from 1 species